AGCCUGAACGCUGUCGGUGUGAUUAAGACAUGCAAGUCGUACGGUGUAGCAAUACACAGUGGCGCACGGGUGAGUAAGGCAUCGCUAAUGUACCCCGGGGUUUUGGAUAGCCAGUCGAAAGAUUGGGUAAUACAAAACGAGACCACGAUCUGGCAUCAGAUUGUGCUCAAAGGGCAACCGCCCUGGGAUCAGGCGAUGUGGUAUCAGCUAGUUGGUGAGGUAACGGCUCACCAAGGCUUCGACGCCUAGCCGGACUGAGAGGUCGGCCGGCCACAUCGGGACUGAGACACUGCCCGGACUCCUACGGGGGGCUGCAGUAAUGAAUCUUCCGCAAUGCACGAAAGUGUGACGGAGCGACACCGAGUGAAGGAUGAAGUUCUUCGGAAUGUAAACUUCUAAAACCUGUUAGAAGUUCUGAUCGACAGGCUAUAAGUGGACGACUAACUCUGCGCCAGCAGCCGCGGU
rnacentral:rRNA from 1 species